rnacentral:rRNA from 1 species
UGAGUACGAGACGCUAAGGCGUUGAAGCAGUCUAUGUCAGACUUCCAAGAAAAGCUCGCAAUGUCAUCAACAAAAAAUGCCUGUACCAUAACCGACACAGGUGGGUAGGUAGAGUAUACUAAGGGGCGCGAGAUAACUCUCUCUAAGGAACUCGGCAAAAUGACUCCGUAACUUCGGGAGAAGGAGUGCCUUAUUUUUAUAAGGUUGCAAUAACAAGAUCCAAGCAACUGUUUACCAAAAACACAGGUCUCCGCUAAGUCGUAAGACGAUGUAUGGGGGCUGACGCCUGCCCAGUGCCAGAAGGUUAAAGAAGUUGGUUAGUUUCGGCGAAGCUGAUGACUGAAGCCCUGGUGAACGGCGGCCGUAACGAUAACGGUCCUAAGGUAGCGAAAUUCCUUGUCGGGUAAGUUCCGACCCGCACGAAAGGCGUAAUGAUUUGGAUACUGUCUCGGAGAGGGGCUCGGUGAAAUAGACUUGUCUGUGAAGAUGCGGACUACCUGCACUGGACAGAAAGACCCUAUGAAGCUUUACUGUAACUUGAGAUUGAAAUUGGACUUUAUUUGCGCAGUAUAGGUGGGAGACGUUGAGAAUAUUCUUGCGGGAAUAUUGGAGUCAUCAGUGAGAUACCACUCUUGUAAUGUUAGAUUUCUAACUUUGUAUCAUGAUCUGGUCAAAGGACAGUUUCAGGCGGGCAGUUUGACUGGGGCGGUCGCCUCCCAAACGGUAACGGAGGCGCACAAAGGUUUCCUCUGAACGUGUAGAAAUCGUAUCUAGAGUGUAAAGGCAUAAGGAAGCUUGACUGUGAGACCUACAAGUCGAGCAGGGACGAAAGUCGGUCUUAGUGAUCUGACGGUGCUGAGUGGAAAGGCCGUCACUCAACGGAUAAAAGUUACUCUAGGAUAACAGGCUGAUCUCCCCCAAGAGUUCACAUCGACGGGGAGGUUUGGCACCUCGAUGCCGGCUCAUCGCAUCCUGGGGCGGUAGUACGUCCCAAGGGUUGGGCUGUUCGCCCAUGAAAGCGGUACGCGAGCUGGGUUCAGAACGUCGUGAGACAGUUCGGUCCAUAUCCGGUGUAGGCGUUAGAAUAUUGAGAGGAGCCUUCUUUAGUACGAGAGGACCGAGAAGGACAUACCUCUGGUGUACCAGUUAUCGUGCCAACGGUAAACGCUGGGUAGCUAUGUAUGGAGUGGAUAACCGCUGAAAGCAUCUAAGUGGGAAGCCCACCUCAAGAUAAGUAUUCUC